GACGAACGCUGGCGGCGUGCUUAACACAUGCAAGUCGAGCGGAAAGGCUCCUUCGGGGGUACUCGAGCGGCGAACGGGUGAGUAACACGUGAGUAAUCUGCCCUGCGCUCUGGGAUAGCCACCGGAAACGGUGAUUAAUACCGGAUAUGACCGCUACACGCAUGUGUUGGUGGUGGAAAGUUUUUCGGCGCAGGAUGUGCUCGCGGCCUAUCAGCUUGUUGGUGAGGUAAUGGCUCACCAAGGCUUUGACGGGUAGCCGGCCUGAGAGGGUGACCGGUCACACUGGGACUGAGACACGGCCCAGACUCCUACGGGAGGCAGAAGUGGGGAAUAUUGGACAAUGGGCGGAAGCCUGAUCCAGCAACGCCGCGUGAGGGAUGACGGCCUUCGGGUUGUAAACCUCUUUCAGUACCGACGAAGCGAAAGUGACGGUAGGUACAGAAGAAGGACCGGCCAACUACGUGCCAGCCGCCGCGGUAAUAC
rnacentral:rRNA from 1 species